UGCCAGCCGCCGCGGUAAUACGAAGGGACCUAGCGUAGUUCGGAAUUACUGGGCUUAAAGAGUUCGUAGGUGGUUGAAAUAGUUGGUGGUGAAAUCCCAGAGCUUAACUCUGGAGCUGCCAUCAAAACUUUUCAGCUAGAGUAUGAUAGAGGAAAGCAGAAUUUCUAGUGUAGAGAUGAAAUUCGUAGAUAUUAGAAAGAAUACCAAUUGCGAAGGCAGCUUUCUGGAUCAUUACUGACACUGAGGAACGAAAGCACCGGCAGCUAAGAGGAUCAGAUA
rnacentral:rRNA from 1 species